CGAAAUCGGAGCCGAAACGCGUCGAUUCGUCCGUUUAGAGUCGGCCCGUGGUCGACUUCAUCGAGAAAGAAUUCUUCUCAGAAAACUCGUUUUGACUUUCGAGAGAAAUUCAAACAAAUAUUUCACCGAAUACGAGAACGUAACAAAACGAGUCGAAGUUAAACGUCGUUCGUGGAACUCUUUGUAGAAGAAAAUUCCGAAGCCGAAGGUCCCCGUGGCGUGUGAUGGCUAGGUUUUCGGGGUGAAGAGGCAAAAAAAAGAUAAAGAGAACUGGAGAAGGAGGAAGGGAAAAGAGAGAGCAUUAUAUACAUGUAUGUAGGAACAGCUGUUCGUCGACGAGGGCCCGGUCCUCGGCUGCGCGCACCUACACAGGAGGAGUCCUUUACACAGCGGGCCCUUUCACGGAGCGUCUCUCUCUCAGGUACGUACGUGCAACACGUGUUGCGUCCGCGUUUCAUCCGGGGAACCGUUUCCGAUGACUCAUACGGAGUACGUACAAUAUGCGAUAUGCUUUUUACACACAAGACUGUAGACGGAGAGCGCCAAGUCGUCGGAGACUACACACAGGGUGACGCAUUUAUAUCUCAGAUUCUUUCGUUUUUCCGUUUAACCUUGAUACAUUUCCGUUUAAAAUGUGUUUGUCUUAAUCGUACGAGGAAAACCUGGCAGGCCGGUUGUAUCUUCGCUUGUAUCUCCGAAACCUCCAGGGAUGACCGUUUGUAAUCGGUCGAGAUGAAACGCGAGAAGCCGUGAAUGAACGGGGCACACUUGUGCGUUCCAGGACAAAAAAUUACGCAGCAUCUGUGUGGAAUCGUGAAAGAGAGAUGAGACGAUCUCUCGGUAAAAACUGUUUGUACACCCCGUUUACUCGUGGGAGCAAGAUUCACACAUACCUUUGUGUAUGUCUGUGUGUGUCAACGUUUUGUCUUCCUGUAGUAAUACACGCUUU